UGAUAGACGGCAUAGUUUAACACCAGAUAAUUUGAAAAUAAUGCUAGUAAUUAUGUGCAACCAGGCAACUUUGGUCAUUUAAUGUCGUAUACCUUUAUAUUAUCGUUUUAAACCAUAUUUUGAUGGAUGAAAUAAAUGCAUUUUUUGU